UACGUAGGGUCCGAGCGUUGUCCGGAAUUAUUGGGCGUAAAGGGCUCGUAGGCGGUUAGUCACGUCGGGAGUGAAACUCAGGGCUCAACCCUGAGCGUGCUUCCGAUACGGGCUGACUAGAGGUAUGCAGGGGAGAACGGAAUUCCUGGUGUAGCGGUGAAAUGCGCAGAUAUCCGAAGGAACACCGGUGGCGAAGGCGGCUUCCUGGACCGACACUGACGCUGAGGCGCGAAAGCUAGGGGAGCAAACAGG
rnacentral:rRNA from 1 species